rnacentral:pre_miRNA from 1 species
UGUGUACUCCCUCCAUUCCAAAAUACUUGACUUCCAUUUGUCCAAAAAUGGAUGUACCUAUAUACUAAAACAUGUAUAGAUACAUCUAUAUUUUGACAAAUAGAAGGCAUGUAUUGUGGAAUGGAGGGAGUACAAA